rnacentral:tRNA from 1 species
CGAAAUGUAGCUUAUUUAAAGCUAUUUAUUUACAUUAAAUUGAAGAUUUUAAAAUUCUUUUCGA